GUCUAUUUUAAAGUUUAUUUGAAGAGGAGCUUACUUUCUAUCCAAGACUGGAACUUAUUUUGUAAUGUAAAUGCCAAUUAUGGAAAAUAGUACAUAACCAUUAUCAAGUUUCUCUUUCAAAAUGAACUCAGCUUGUGGAGUUUGACACUCAUUUCCAUGUUGUUGGAGUGACUUCUUGAACUGGCACAGUUGUCAUUCAUUUGAAAGGAGAUUUUAAAUGAAUUUGGGGAACUUCACCCUCCCCACCCCCAUCUGUCUCCCAUUCAGAUUGCCACAGCAUUUGUCACCUGACGCUGCUGAUCCUUCCCAUCCCUGUUACCUUAGCAAUCAGUAGAGCAAACUCCCAUCUAGCCUUCCU
rnacentral:lncRNA from 1 species